CGCGUAGGCGGUUAUAUAAGUGAGAUGUGAAAUCCCUGGGCUUAACCUAGGAACUGCAUCUUAUACUGUAUAGCUGGAGUAUUGUAGAGGGUAGUGGAAUUUCCGGUGUAGCGGUGAAAUGCGUAGAGAUCGGAAGGAACACCAGUGGCGAAGGCGGCUACCUGGACAAAUACUGACGCUGAGGCGCGAGAGCGUGGGGAGCAAACAGGAUUAGAUACCCUGGUAGUCCACGCUGUAAACGAUGAGAACUAGAUGUUGGUAGGCAUGACCUAUUAGUAUCGAAGCUAACGCGAUAAGUUCUCCGCCUGGGGAGUACGGCCGCAAGGUUAAA
rnacentral:rRNA from 1 species